CUAGCUUCCCAAACUGUGAGAAAUGUUUCUAUUGUUUAAGUCACCCAGUCUGUGGUUUUGUUAGGGCAGUCUGACCUGGUACAUACAAUUAUUCGGGAAGCUGGCAAAAACAGAUGUGGACUUCAGGAAAGAGACUGAGCUGCCACAACUUCAAAGAAGGCAUACAAACUCCUAAGCCUAAAGGAUGAAAUCAGCUCUGUGGGUGUCAAAUGAGUGGUGCAUGUGAAAACUCCUUGAAAAGGAUGAGGACUUUGGCGAGCGCUCAAGACAGUAAGUAAGGAUUCAGUAAGUUUUCUACAGAUGAACGCAGGACCUUUAAACAGCAUGCUGUACAUUUCUCACCUUCUGGAAGGACAAAUGUAAAGAAGAAAUGAUCACCUUAAGCUAUGCAAUGCUAAAUCAGGAAUCAAUUAAAUAGCUGGAUCACUCAUCCCAUCUGGCACAUUUUCACUUCUCAAAUAGCAAAAUUGAUAAAGCUAGUGUUUUUUAAAGUCUAUCAAUAAAAUGCCUCUCAUAGAGUAUAUUAUAAUAAUAUUUCUGGAACUAUAUCUCUUCCUGUUUGCUUGAUUGCAAAAUCAUCUACCCUCAUUAACUUCUUGAGGCAGAUCAAAAAACGAGUUUGAAAGAGAUACAAUUUAUAUAAGUAUACCUAACAUUUUGGUUGAAAGAUAUUUUAUAAACUUAGGGCAUUCCAGACUUUCUAUUUAAUUAAAAGCUUUUAUUAAGCAUUAGAACACUGUGGUUGGUAAAAGUAUUGUUUCCAUUUCUUAGCAUGUAUAUUUUGUCCAUCAUUUGCAUUAAUAUAUAUUAGUUUAAAAUUCAUAGGCUUCUGAUUUCAAAGUCUAUAUGUUAUUUAUGUAACCUCUGUUCUCUGUAACAGAAUAAAAAUGCAAAGUGAAUUGAAAUGCUUUUCAACUUCCUCAAAUAUUCCUCCCAUUUUACUUGAUCAUAAUUCCAAUAUCCUUAUUUUAGUUACUAAAAUUGAAUAAGAGGAUAUAACAGUUUUAAGUAAUCAGAAAGAACUUAUUACUAGCCCUUUAUUUAUCUAGAAAAAGGAAAGAAGGAGUAGCAAUUCUGUUUUAAAAUAAUGUAUCCUAGAAGGAUCACAGAAUCAGAACAGGAAAAAAAAAAAAAAUCCCAAUCUGAUGUAACUGAGAGUUCUUGAGUAAGUUUCACUUCCUCAGACCUUGGUUUUUUCAUAGGUCACAGAACAAACAAGUAGCUGAAGUAGGAUUCAAACAUGUGCCUCCUCCAAGGAGUAUACCAUCUAGAGGGCACCAACAGUAAUACUGAAAUGUCUAUGUAGUGAAUCUACAGAUUGGAAUACAACUAGGUGAUUCAGGAAAAACAAUUAAGGAAAGAUUAAUGGUUAUUUUCUUGAUAGUGAAUUUUGAAAGCUAUUAAAAUACUGCUGUGUUAGUUUUAGAAGUAGAUUGCAAACCAGUAAAUCUAGUGAGGCUAGGCAUAGUGUAGAUACCUGCCAUUUAACAACAUAGAGAUACUUCAUAAAAAUUUCUCUAAUAUAACAAGAAAAUAACUAGAUUAUAACUAUAGACAACAGUUUCCCUAACACAAUCAUUAUGGGGCUUUAAUGAUCACUGUUUUCUAACAAAUUUCUUUAAAAACAAAUUUGGCUACCUUCUAUUGGGUUGCUUUUGAUCUCUGCUCUAUAGGAAAUACAAUUUUCUUGUCAUUCUUCCUUUCAAUUCUUUGAAUUUUACCUUCACUCUUUAUAUCCUCUUUAUCAUUCUCAUUACCAUGUUUUCUCUGGGUCUUUUAUUCCCCCAAGUGUAUUUCACUUUCCACUGCAAUUUCU